rnacentral:ncRNA from 2 species
AGAAAAUUUAAAAUUACAGGUGCCUCACUUAAGAGGAGAAUAGGGAAGUCGGUGUAAGUCCGGCGCGGUCCCGCCACUGUAAACGGGGAGCAAGAAGUAUAACCACGGGGUAGUUCCCGGAAGGUGCUUCAGAUGAUGUUGAUCCGUAAGCCAGGAGACCUGCCUGUAGUUAAGCCCAAGC